UAAGCUGAAAAUCAUAAAAGAUAAGUAAAUGAGUAAGGGCUAUUCAUCCUACUCAGUCCCACUCCUACCUUAUCAGAUACUUUCAGUUAUUUCUACUUUUCCUCUCGAGAUUCGCUGUGAGAUACUAGAACUUCUUUUUGAUGCAUACUUGUGGGAAGAUUUUGAUUAUCCAUGAGAUUACAGUUGUAACUUCAUAGACUCCCAAAGGGAAAUUCUUGCCUGACUGGCUCAUGGAGAAAGCCUACCUAAGAAUGAAGCCGGGACCCGGCAGAAUGGCUCCUGUGAAGAAGGGUGGCAAGAAGAAAAAGGGCCGUUCUGCCAUCAAUGAGGUGGUGACCCGAGAAUACACCAUCAACAUUCACAAGUGCAUCCAUGGAGUGGGCUUCAAGAAGCAUGCCCCUUGAGCACUCAAAGAGAUUCGGAAAUUUGUCAGGAAGGAGAUGGGAACUCUAGAUGUGCACAACUGAUACCAGGCUCAACAAGGCUGUCUGGGCCAAAGGAAUAAGGAAUGUCCCAUGCCGAAUCCAUGUGCAGUUGUCCAGAGAAUAUAAUGAGGAUGAAGAUUCACCAAAUAAGCUCUGUACUUCGGUUACCUAUGUACCUGUUACCACUUUCAAAAAUCUAUAGACAGUCAUUGUGGAUGAGAAC
ensembl:lncRNA novel transcript